rnacentral:piRNA from 1 species
GUUGCUGGAGCUGCAGACUCAGG